GUCUAUAGCCACACCACGCCCCAUCUCAUCUGAUCUUGGAAGCUAAACAGUUAGGCCUGGUUAGUUCUUGGAUGGGAGACAUUGUCUCACAAAGAAAACAAAAACAACCAGGGCCUAGGCG
ensembl:rRNA 5S_rRNA 5S ribosomal RNA